AGAGCAAUGAUGAGAUGCGCAGGGGUACGUACCUCAGCUGAUAAUGGGAGCUGAGUGUUGACUGCCUGGAGAUCAGUGGACAUGUGGUCAGCUGAUUUUACAGUGUCAGCACGAAAUAGUCGCCUAAACUGAGCUCU